rnacentral:lncRNA from 1 species
GGAUGGAUUCCUCAGGACGGAUUCCCCAGAAUGGAUCCCUCAGGACGGAUCCCUUAGGACGGAUUCCUCAGGAUGGAUUCCUCGGGAUGGAUUCCUCAGGAUUCCUUGGGAUGGAUUCCUUGGGAUUCCUCGGGAUGGAUUCCUCGGGAUGGAUUCCUCAGGAUGGAUUCCUCAGGAUUCCUUGGGAUGGAUCCCAUGGGAUGGAUUCCUCAGGACGGAUCCCUCAGGAUCCCAUGGGAUGGAUUCCUCGGGAUGGAUUCCUCGGGAUGGAUCCCUCGGGAUGGAUUCCCCAGAAGCGCUCAGCACUGCUCGGCCUCCACAAACCCCUCCUUCUCCUGGCUGGCCGCCUCCACCUCGGCGUAGGAGCCGUGGUUGCCGUGGUUCCGGAAUUUCAUGGCGGGCCAGCGGUGCGGCCUCCGCUGGGGACAGAAA